rnacentral:rRNA from 1 species
GACGAACGCUGGCGGCGUGCUUAACACAUGCAAGUCGAACGGAAAGGCCCUGCUUGCAGGGUACUCGAGUGGCGAACGGGUGAGUAACACGUGGGUGAUCUGCCCUGCACUUCGGGAUAAGCCUGGGAAACUGGGUCUAAUACCGGAGAGGAGCCACUUUUAGUGUGAUGGUUGGAAAGUUUUUUCGGUGUAGGAUGAGCUCGCGGCCUAUCAGCUUGUUGGUGGGGUAAUGGCCUACCAAGGCGGCGACGGGUAGCCGGCCUGAGAGGGUGGACGGCCACAUUGGGACUGAGAUACGGCCCAGACUCCUACGGGAGGCAGCAGUGGGGAAUAUUGCACAAUGGGCGCAAGCCUGAUGCAGCGACGCCGCGUGGGGGAUGACGGCCUUCGGGUUGUAAACUACUUUCGCUAGGGACGAAGCUUUUUGUGACGGUACCAAGAUAAGAAGCACCGGCGAACUACGU